AGAACAGAAAAUCAAACGCCACAUGUUCUCACUCCUAGGGGCUCUGCAUGGCACUGUUAGUGCUUGCUGAGAGAAAGAAGGCAGUGUGGAAGAGUGGAGACCAUGGACAUUUCAGCCACUUCCUCAUUGUACGAAUCACAUUUGGAGGCAACCACAAUACAUUAUGCCAUGCAUAAUCUCAGCUACAAAGGCAAAAGAGUCUUCUGCA